rnacentral:rRNA from 1 species
UACGUAAGAGGCAAGCGUUGUCCGGAAUCACUGGGCGUAAAGCGCGUGUAGGUGGUUAGGUAAGUCGGAUGUGAAAUCCCCGGGCUCAACCCGGGAACUGCGUCCGAAACUGCCUGACUCGAGAACAGGAGAGGAGAGUGGAAUUCCGGGUGUAGCGGUGAAAUGCGUAGAUAUCCGGAGGAACACCAGUGGCGAAGGCGGCUCUCUGGCCUGUUUCUGACACUGAGACGCGAAAGCGUGGGGAGCGAACGGG